AUGGUUAUCAUGCAAACGGCAACAAGGCCUCUCGUAGGUGCACAUGGUGCUCCGUUUGCUCGGCGGGCGGCGCUGGUUCCAAAGGCUCGCCGGCAACCGGGCAGCCCUCGCCGCACCUCAAAAAUAGGCAGCAGCAGCACCAGCUCCACCACCACCACCACCACCAAUUUAUCCGAAGCCAAUGGGCCGGCCACCAGCACGGUUGCCCGCCCUGACCUCCACUUUGACCUUAACCAGGCCGUCGAGCUGAGGGCCACUGUGACGGUAAACAUGAAAAAUUUCUGGUUAAAAGAGGAUAUGCUUGAUCAGGCGCUUGAUGUUUUCCACAAUCUCUUUACACAAAAUUGGUUGUACCUCGAGCUCGUUAGCUCCGAAUUGGAUCCAAAAACAGGACAGGAGUGGGAUGUAGUCUCCGGCAAAGUCCAGCACUCACGGAGCCUGGAGGAGGACUGGCACAUGUACGAUGCUAGCUUCAUGGUGCCGGCAUCGUUCGGCCCCAUCGGCGCCGUGCAAGUGAAGAACUACCACUACACGGAGAUGUUGUUAGGGGACAUUAAGGUCUUCCCAGCCGGGGAGAACUCUGGGUCGUCCGCCGUUGCAUUAUUCCACUGCAACUCCUGGAUCAACCCCUCACAGUACAGCCCUGAAAAGCGUAGUUUCUUCCCUCUCGAGAACUCGUACCUCCCGUCGCAGACUCCCAAGGGCGUGGAGAGGCUGCGCGAGAGCGAGCUGGUGGCCCUUCGUGGCACCGGCUACGGCGAACGCAAGGCAUACGACCGCAUCUACGACUACGAUGUGUACAACGACCUUGGGGACCCCUGCAAAGACAAAAGCACCAAUCGGCCUGUACUCGGCGGCAAGGAGCACCCCUACCCACGACGCUGCCGCACAGGACGUCCGCACUGCCGGAAAUAUCCGUUGUCGGAGACAAUACCACCCAAGGGGGUAUCCAUUUAUGUUCCCGAGGACGAAAAUUUCACGGAGCGCAAGGAGUUAGCGUUCAACACAAAGUUGUUCAUGUCGCUGCUCCACGGGAUAUGCAGGAUUAUGAAGCGGUCGAAGCACAGUAGCCAGAGUUUCCCCACCUUGGAGGCCAUUAACGCGAUGUACGACGACGAGUUCAGGAACCAGCCACUGCAGCCAGACGGUGGAAAGUUCAAAUUUAUCGCCGAAUUUCUCGAGAAGGAGGCGCUUCUUCUCUUUGAGAAGGAAGGGGCAGAGUUUCUUGAGGGGAUACGCAGAGUCUUCGAGUUUGAAACGCCCGAGAUUCACGACAGGGACAAGUAUGCUUGGUUCAGAGACGAGGAGUUUGCGCGUGAAACCCUUGCCGGGGUGAACCCACUGAGCAUCCAACUAGUCAGGGAAUUGCCUCUGGUGAGCAAGCUGGACGAGAAAAUCUACGGCCCGGCGGACUCCUUGAUAACUAAAGAGGUGAUUGAAGAGCAGAUCAACGGUGUCAUGACAGCUGAGGAGGCCGUGGCUAAGAAGAAGCUGUUCAUGCUGGACUACCACGACUUGUACCUUCCAUUUGUCAACAAGGUGCGCCAGCUCGAGGGCACGACCUUGUACGGGUCACGUGCGCUCUUCUUCCUAGCCGGCGAUGGCACGCUCCGGCCCAUCGCCAUCGAGCUGACGAGGCCCAAGUCGGCAAGCAAGCCACAGUGGCGUGAGGUCUUCACGCCGGCAUCAGGACACAAAGCCAGCAUCACCGGGUCCUGGCAGUGGCAACUCGCCAAGGCCCAUGUCGUGUGCCUCGACACUGGCUACCAUCAGCUUGUCAGCCAUUGGCUCAGGACACACUGUUGUGUCGAGCCGUACAUCAUCGCGGCGAACCGGCAGCUUAGCCAGAUGCACCCCAUCUACCGGCUGCUCGCCCCGUCCUUCCGGUUCACCAUGGAGAUCAAUGCCCAGGCACGCAAGUUGCUCAUCAACGCCGAUGGGAUCAUCGAGAGCACCUUCUCACCGGGGAAGUACUCCAUGGAGAUCAGCUCGGCCGCCUACGCCGAGCAGUGGCGGUUCGAUAAGGAGGCGCUGCCAGAGGACCUCAUCCGGAGGGGCAUGGCGGUCAGAGGAGAGGAUGGCAAGCUGGAGCUGGCCAUAGAGGAUUACCCAUACGCCAAUGAUGGCCUGCUGGUCUGGGAUGCCAUCAAGCAGUGGGCAUCCGACUACGUGGCGCACUACUACGCAUGCGCGGCGGACAUCGUCGACGACGUGGAGCUCCAGGCUUGGUGGAAGGAGGUGCGCACCAAAGGCCAUGCGGACAAGAAGGAUGAGCCAUGGUGGCCGCAGCUUGACUGCCACGAGAGCUUGGUCCAGACCCUAUCCACCAUCAUGUGGGUGGCGUCGGCGCAUCAUGCCGCCGUGAACUUCAGCCAGUACCCAUAUGGUGGGUACGUCCCAAACCGGCCCUCCAUAGCCCGCAUAAACAUGCCGUCAGAGAUGGGCCCCGAUGGCAUGCGCGCGUUCAUGGAGGCGCCGGACAAGGUGCUGCUGGACACAUUCCCGUCCCAGUACCAGAGCGCCCUGGUGAUGGCGAUACUGGACGUCCUCUCGUCGCACUCGUCGGGCGAGGAGUACUUGGGCACGUACCAAGAGCCGGCGUGGCAACAGAAUGGCAAGAUCGACAAGGCGUUCGAGGACUUCAGGGAGAGCAUGUUGAAGAUCGGGGUGCAGGUCAACAAGUGGAACAGGGACCCCGAGCGGAAAAACCGGUGUGGUCCGGGCAUGGUGCCGUAUGUGCAGCUAAGGCCAUCGGACGGUGAUCCUAUGGCCGCCAAAACGGUGAUGGGGAUGGGCGUUCCAACCAGCAUCUCCAUUUGA
rnacentral:rRNA from 1 species